CAAUGACUCCUGUAGACCUUCAACAUCCCUCCUCUGCCCUAGGGCAAAAGUGCUUUCAGGCUCAAGAGUUCUAUGGCCUGAGUGAAUGAGAUAUACCUAUAGGAACAUAUCAGGACUCAUUUCCAACAUAUCUGACUCCAUUCCUUCUCCCCUAUGCAUUAGGUAAAUAUUUGCUAAUCCUGAGCUUGGUUCAUGGAGCAUUUUAGGCAGGCUGAGGGUUGGGCACAUGCUGGGGAGAUCUUAGCUCCUGGCUGCCAGGAGGAGAGAUGAGAGGGGAUCAGAGUAUAGGCCAGGACAAGACUAUUUCCAGCUUCCUGGCCUUGGGAACUGAGUGGGUAUCUCACUCACUCUGGCCACAGACUCCUAUAUUCUAACAAAUUUGAAUUCUUAAAUAUGGUAAUCUAUGAGAAAGCAAAAGGGAUUGGAAUGCUUUUACUCAGAGAGAGAAACCAAAAGGAGUUAGGGGGUGAUAUCAACAUAAGUUUCAGUCUUCUGAAAGCCAGAGGAUGAGCGCCACCCUGUGCAGCGGGCUUUCUUAUCAUUGUUCUACAGUUGAGGAGUCUGGGGCUCAGGGACCUGCCCCUAGUCACACCACCAGGAAGCAAAAGAGCAGGAAAAAGAAACCAGCCUGACUCCACAGGCUCUUCCCAUCCCGUGGCACAGCUGUGCCUCCCUGAUCAGACCAUCGGAUUCUGAAUUGCCUCGUGUGGGGUUCUGUGCAGGUUGGACAGAUCCACGGACACGCUUCCCUGGACAGAGGGAGAUUUCAAUGUCUGCAAGGAAAGUCAAGGGUGUGUUGGAGCAUUACCGUGGACAAUGAAAUUUUAAAUAAUCUACAUUAUAAUUCAUCAGCAUACACUCUGCUUCUGGUGAAGUCCUUUGAGGGCUGGCUUUCCUCUAAUCCCCACUGUGGCUCCCUAGUACCCUGGCGCCUGAUGGGUUUGUGCUGAAUAAAGAUAUCCUGCACUUCAAGAGGGCAGAGAUGAAAACUUCCUGAGCAAAGAUGGAUAUGGUCCCACAUCCCGUGCCCUGAUUCCAACCCAGGAAAACAGUUGAUAUCAAACAAGAAAUGGAGAGACUUCUAAAAUAUCAAUUAAGUUUUACCAGAGACCCAAGGAGAGGAUGGAAGGAGAGAUAUAGCUAACAUCGAGAAACAAAAACUUUGAAGUGACCCUAGAGUUUGGAGGAUCGUGCCCAGAAUGAGGAGAGAUUGAAGAGAAAAAAAUUCACCGAAACAAUAGAAAAACGAAUGGAGGCAACAAUAGGACUUUCGACCACAUUCAGAGCCCAGAGUCACUAGAAGGUCUGGGUGGUGCCGAGUUCAACUAGGACAGAGAAAGAAGGAACCUUGAGUCCUGUCUGGGGUUCUUCUCCGUCAAAGACAAUGGCCGGGAGCUUGCCACACGUGGUCUUGGUGAACACCUGAAUGGUAGGGACAGCCAGAGACAAAGCAGCAAUUUUUAAAAACUAUAAAACAAAUGCAUGCACUUGGUAUCAGUAAAGAAAUUAUAAUCAUAUACAGAGAUAUAAUACAAAGGUAAAAUUUCUCUUCCUUUCUCCAA